rnacentral:lncRNA from 1 species
CUCCCGCUAUAAGGUUUUUGUAGCAGUCGUUUCUGUUAUAGCCAUUUUGGGGAUUUUUUUCUUAGCUUUCUGGUAUAGAAAAACCUGGCACACUGAGAGACUUGAGGAUUGGGAAAGAGACUGUCCUCACAGAUUCCACUACACAGAUCUGUACACAGCAACAAAAGGAUUUAAAAGUAGCGAACUAAUUGGAAUUGGGGGUUUUGGCUCAGUGUAUAAAGGUCAGAUACGUUCAACAGGAAUUGAAAUUGCAGUGAAGAGAGUAAGAAGAAAUUCAGGCCAAGGAAUGAAAGAAUUCGCAGCAGAAAUCGAAAGCUUAGGACGAUUAAGACAUAAGAACUUGGUAAAUCUCCAAGGAUGGUGCAAGAAAAAGAACGAUCUACUCAUAGUUUACGAUUAUAUACCAAAUGGAAGCCUCUAUUCACUUCUAUAUCAUCCAAAAAACAACAUUAUAUUGAAUUGGAAACAAAGAUUCAACAUCCUCAAAGGAAUUGCAGCAGGAUUACUAUACCUUCACGAAGAGUGGGAGCAAGUAGUAAUCCACCGAGACGUGAAGCCCAGCAAUGUUCUAAUAGACGCGGACAUGAAUCCUCGAUUGAGCGAUUUCGGUCUAGCCAGGCAAUACGACCACGACGAAGCAUCGCACACGACGGGCGUCG